GAUGAACGCUGGCGGCGUGCCUAAUACAUGCAAGUCGAGCGAACGGACGAGAAGCUUGCUUCUCUGAUGUUAGCGGCGGACGGGUGAGUAACACGUGGAUAACCUACCUAUAAGACUGGGAUAACUUCGGGAAACCGGAGCUAAUACCGGAUAAUAUUUUGAACCGCAUGGUUCAAAAGUGAAAGACGGUCUUGCUGUCACUUAUAGAUGGAUCCGCGCUGCAUUAGCUAGUUGGUAAGGUAACGGCUUACCAAGGCAACGAUGCAUAGCCGACCUGAGAGGGUGAGCGGCCACACUGGAACUAAGAAACGGUCCAGACGCCUACGGGAGGCAGCAGUAGGGAAUGUUCCGCAAUGGGCGAAAGCCUGACGGAGCAACGCAGCGUGAGUGAUGAAGGUCUUCGGAUCGUAAAACUCUGUUAUUAGGGAAGAACAUAUGUGUAAGUACCUGUGCACAUCUGGACGGUACCUAAUCAGAAAGCCACGGCUAACUACGUG
rnacentral:rRNA from 1 species